rnacentral:rRNA from 1 species
UGUCACAACCAUAUCAUGUUGAAAACACCAGUUCUUGUCUGACCACUUAAGUAAAGCAAAGUCAAGCAUGGUCAGCACUUAGAUGAGUGACCACUUGUGAAACCUAGGUGAUUAGGUGAUGU